GCGAAAACUUUACAAUGCUGGCAACAGCGAUAAGGGAACCUCGAGUGCCAGGUUACAAAUCUGGCUGUCGAGAUGCCUAAAAAGCAUUUCAUAGCAAGGGCCGGGCAAGACCGGUGCCAGCCGCCGCGGUAACACCGGCGGCUCGAGUGGCAACCGUUAUUAUUGGGUCUAAAGGGUCUGUAGCCGGCCGGAUAAGUCUCUUGAGAAAUCUGGCAGCUUAACUGUCAGGCUUUCAGGAGAUACUGUCUGGCUCGAGGCCGGGAGAGGUGAGAGGUACUUCAGGGGUAGGGGUGAGAUCUUGUAAUCCUUGAAGGACCACCAGUGGCGAAGGCGUCUCACCAGAACGGACCUGACGGCAAGGGACGAAAGCUAGGGGCACGAACC
rnacentral:rRNA from 1 species